rnacentral:tRNA from 3 species
GGAGAAAUACUCAAGUGGCUGAAGAGGCGCCCCUGCUAAGGGUGUAGACCGGGCGACCGGUGCGCGGGUUCAAAUCCCGCUUUCUCCG